GGUUACCGUGCACAUGGCAAUUAUUCUUAUAUUACAAUGCAAGAAUUAUUAUUUUAUUUAAAAUCUAUUUGCAAUUAUUUUAAAAAUGAUUUUAUGUAAUUGAAAUUUAGUGAUGUAACAGAAGUCUAAAUAACAAUUAACUGACGAUAAUUUUCUGGUUCAUUUAAUGAAAAUAAUUUUUAUUGCAUAAUAAUCGCUUGAGAGGUCAAAGCUUUGUUUGACUGUUCGUUAACCUCGCUAAUUUUCCAUCAACAACUAUAGACUAAAUACGUGUAGAUUUAUGUAUAGUUUUAUACUCUUGAACAAUAAGUGUUAUAAGAGUGUAAAUAAAAAUGAAGUAGAGGCAUAUGAAGACGAUAAUGACGAAGUAAAGUGUAAUGUGAAUAGUGAGAGGUAAUUAUGGGAAGAGUUUGUACAGGUUGACAGUGAGCAAGAUGGUAACAAGAAGACAUGGUUUGUUGAAACGGCUGGAAAUGAAAUAUUGAUCUGGGAAAACGGCGCGCGCAACCCCUGCAGACCCAACCCUAUGUAUUUUUCUCUCUGAUUCUGGCUCUACUCUCUAGGUUGUCUAUCUCAACAUUUACUAGCCAGUAUAGGUAUACCUAUCUACUUCUUCAUCUUUGUCUUUCUUUCAUCACCUUCUAUUCCUUUAUGACAUAAGAAGAAGAAGAAGAAGAAGACCAGGGCAUCCAUCGCCACCAUUUUCUCUUAGGUAUAUAGACUUUUCCUAUUGUAAAUUCAGGCCUCAUCUUAUCUUACUUACAUCUUUGAAUACAAAAAUAUCUUUAAAUUGUUCAGAAGAUCAAAAUAUUAAAAUUUUUAUCCAGGACAUUUUUAUAUUAUUCAAAUGUUUGGUUCUUUAAAUAUUUCAAACAUUAAUGAAGCCGAAAAGUACUAAGUUUCAUUUUUCAUUCAUCCCAUCGAGGGGAUCCAUUAAAUUGAUAUUCUGGGCUUGACGUGAAAAUACUGACGUAGCUUUUUUAAAUCAAUAAAAUUUUAUAUAUGUACAGUCGAAAAUUU